UAAACAAUAGAAGUUCGAUAUUAGCGGUCAUCCAAAUAAUUUAUAGAAAAUCUUGGCUAUAUGUACGUCCAAUAUUAGAGGUGUUAGAUGUACAACUUAACAUACUUGUACUUGAGGUUUUGAAGAGUGAGGUUUUGUUCAGUUGCUCUUUUUGUUUAUUAUAGAGUUGUUAGGCUGGUUAGAAAACCGACCACAUCUGUUCCACCAUAAUAAGCGAUUCUUUUUUUAUUGUACUAUAUGGAAAUUAUACAUAAAAGGUAGAAGGAUUAUCGCGAGCCAAUAUUGGGAAUCUGCAACCAUUAUGUUGGGGGUUAAUGAGGAUAUAUUGGGAUCGGGAAGCAAACAAAUGAUGUGUUAACCAACAUGAGAACACAGAGGUUAGCAACAUAGAGAAAAGACAGCAAUACAGAUGGGUGCUAAGGUGAGUAUGUGGUAUACCUUUGACAGGAAAACCAUGUCGAUUGCUGGAGACCAACUCGUUUCAACCAUGGGUCAAAUGCGCAGGAGUGUCUGUAUGGUCUAUGACUUCAAAGCGAAUCAGCUACCUAGACGUAGUACAUACAAUAGAAAGGAGGUGUAAACGUUUUAAACUUUAGUAGUCGGAGCUCACGAGUAGUGGUGUCGCUCAGUUUCUUGAACUUUGUGGGAAUGCUAGGUAUAGAAUCGCUAAACCCUGAUUUUUGGCAUUAUUGGUUGUUUUUUGUUUUUUAAUUUUAUUUUGAAGAUCUUGAUGAUAGCUCAUCACAGUGAAGAGUCGUUUUGAAGAUGUUGAUGAUACCUCCUCGCAAUGAAAUAGCUGGAAUUCUAAUGUUCUUAACGAGUGAUUUUGAGUUCUGUAGAUGUUGAUGAGACCUCCUUGUAGUGACGAGGCGAAGUUAAAGCAAAAAAUAUCAAGGCAACCAUAUCUAUGGUAUAAUUAGGGUUUGAUAUUUUUUUACCUUUUUGAACGAGUGAUUAAAAGAUCACAAACAUGGACGAAAACCAGGGUUCAUAAAUUUCCCAGUAAACUAAAAAUGUCUGAGACUAUCCAAAAACAUCUCUUUUAUGUUUCCUUUUUGAUUUUGUAGAUUUUAUGAAAUUUUGAUUGCUACCUUGUAGUAAAUACAUACCUAUUUUGAAAAUCUACAUAACGAAAAUUCCUUAUUCCAUAUAAAUACACGGGUAUAGCAGAAAUCAAGCAAUGGAUUCCCUCUUGAUUUGUAUCUCACCGUAUUGUGCUCGUUGUAUUGUGAGUAAUUUUUUGCUUUUGACAAACAAAAUUCUGUGUUAUCUUUGUUUUGAACUUUGAAUCACAAAAAAACCACAGUUUGUAUGAGAGAAUUUCUUGGUUUCAUUACAUGUUGAACACAAUGUCUAUAUAUUUAACUUCAUUGGUACAUGUUCAUACGAGGUUCACUUUAAGGCAACAGCACUAUCGCAUAAAAGUUAUGCAAUUUUGUUUAUUACUAUUACUAACGCCUAGGUGGUAAUGUACAAACACUAGAAGAUUUAUUGUCGGUCUUUGAUAGUAUCAUAGAAAAGAGUUUCAUAGGAAGUACAUAUCACUUCGUGUUUAUUUCAAAGUGCGACAGUGUGGAACUGAGUCGAUUUCUAUGAUGAUAUCAAUCAAUUUUGAAGCCACAAACACCCCACGGUGUAUUUUUAUACGACUAAAGAGAAACGCUACCGCUGAACUUCUUAUGCCUGAUUCUCAUUUAUUUUAAAUUGGUUUACAGUUCAUUCUAAUAUUUGUUUCAUUUUAGUUCUCAAUGGUUUGAUUAUGUUAAAAUAACCACUGGUUUUGGGCUUCCAUAUGGUAAUAUUUUUUAAUCAUUCAUGGUCAAAUGUAAUGAUUACAGGUUCUCAAAAAAUUUGAAUGACAAAACUGUUGUGGUCAUAUUUGGGAGUAUAUUUGCAAUGAUGCAAUUAAAACGAUUAUGGCGAUAUGGCCAUAUUAUCUGCUAGCGGCUACCCCCUACUCUAAUAUAAACAUAUGCGAGUUUUCUUCUCCAGUUCACAUUUGUUUUCAUGCAUUCUUCUCCGAUUCACAUUUAUUUUCAUGAAUUCUUCUUCCAAUUCAGUGUGGUCUUGAUUAGUAAUUUAUAGUAUUUCAGGGUUCAAAAUGUCCAUUAUUUUAGUAAUGCUUCAAAAAAAAAAAAAAAAAACCAUUUUAGUAAACAU